rnacentral:lncRNA from 1 species
AAUAACAGAUAAUAGGGACAAACAGUCAUUUGUAAUGGGCACGAUAAUUGCAAAAUUGCAAUUGAUAUGAAUGCAAUAUGAGCAUUAAGAGCUCAUAAAUUUGUGACUUCUAACAUGAGUCUGAAAUUCUAACAUUUUGGUGUAUUUAAAAUAGCAUACCUUCUUUUCUGGGACAUGCUGUAGCAAAGUGAUGUUCUAUAAGCCCUGAUUUCUCAAUGAACCAUUUAAUCUGUAGGCUGUUAUAUCCUCCCUAUCAUUCUUCUGCAAAAGAGUAUUGCAGGAAAUAUCAGACACUCGUUAGAUCGAGCUGCUAAUCUCAAAGUGGAAUGGAAAGCCUUCUCUAAACAAAAGGAAAAGACCGUAUAACUUCCUUAAGCGAGUAAUCCCACUGAUUUUUAUUAACAGGGCAUAUAUGUAGAAACUAAACUAUUACAUAUUUUUUCAUGUAUGGAAUUUGUUACCACAGGCAUAUAAAAAGUGUGCAGACAUUGCUCUAGAUUGCUGGUUAUUUUUUUUAAUGCUGCUUUAUCUUCAUAAAAAAUCUUGAAAAUGUCAGCGUUUGAUAGCAAAGCAGUAUUUUCAACUAUCUAACAAAAUGUCUUUCUUUUAUUAUCAGUAGUUAUUCUACAAACAGCCCAUGAAUUUAGGCUCACUUUAUUCUGCACUGUACUCUCAGUGCAUCUGAAAAAUCGUAGGUUCAAUAUAUGUAGUGGUUAAUUGCGUUCUACUGCGAUGAACUGAUGUUCAGUUUUAUAUUUGCUAUCCAUUGCCCUGUGUAAAUUGAGUACUUAACGUCAGGUUAUACGUUGCUUCUAUAUCAUAGCUCUGAAUUUUGCCCUAGUUUUAGAUUUUCUCCUAGUGACUCGUAAUUGAAAUGGUGAUACAUGUAGACUAAAAUGGAAGUUCCCCAACUUUCAGUUGUGAAGCAUCUAUAGCUUGAGAUACUUAUUGACCUCAAAAUUAACAGUAUCUGAUGUUUUCCUCCCUGGGUGUUUUCUUCUGGCCCACGACGGUAUAAUGCAAAGAGUAUGGCAGCAUACUCUGAAGAAGCUUGCUUGCUUGCUCACCUACCAAAUGGACUGCAAUUACGUUAGUGUGGUGCUUGAUCUUAACAAGAUAGUUCAUCCACUCGCCUGAUGUCAUGAUAAGACUGCUGUGCCAACUGAGCUAGCUCAGUGUGAUUGACAUUGUAGCUUAAGCUUUUUACAAAGGGGGCAGAAGAAACACCUCAUUUCCAUUCAUGUUUCUUCUGCCUCCUUUGAAAUUAACACAGGUUUACAACAGCAGCAACAAAAAAGCCAAGGUGACAGGGCAAUAGUAUACUUUUCUAUAUACUGGACUUUUAAGUUGUAGUCCAGAAUCUGAGUAUCACUGCUGUACUGUGCCAUCCAUCUCAUACACCUGUGCUUGAUCUUCCAAGUGCACGUUUCCAAUGAGCUUCUGAAAAACAAACUGAUUUCAUUAUUUUUGGUCAGAAUUUGAAUUCUCAGGAAGGCAUAUAACAGUCCAUACACAGCUGCCAGAACAGCAGUUUUUGAAGCUGUAAAUCUGUCUGGAAUGAUCUGGGCUCAGUGGUUUUUGCUGGCUGAAUGGAACCUUGUUUCUGCUGAGCACUCUUUUGUGUUGUUUUUAUCGUUACGUACCUUCUGCUUUACUAAAAGCUUCUCAAACACCAAAGACAAAUUUUGUCCCAAGAACAUUUCCGUAUGUCAGAAAUUCUGGAUCAGAAGUCUUAAAGUUUGGAGAAAAAAAAAAAAAAAGUGUGUAUCCUAAUGGAAGCAAAAUAAAGGGAAUGAGUGGGGGGGGAAAAAAACACCCUUGGUAUUACAUGGGGAACUCCAUCUUUAAGAGCAACUGUUGUAUCGGGACAUGGUAUGCAUCACUGCUAGCUCUUGACAGGUUCACCAUGGAGAGACACAAAUUAAAUUCUUUCAGUUGCGGUUUUGAAGCUAAAAGUGUUUGACUACUUCAGCCCCUGAAUGGUGUUUAAGGAAUAAAGAGAAAAAGAGCAGGAAGUUCUAAUUGGCAAAUUACUUCUUGUUAUUUAGUUUGGCUUCCAAAUUGGAAAUUACGAUAAUGAGGAGCUUUGUGGGACUUGCCCUUGAAGAGGGCCAGGCAGCUUUUUGUUCAAUUACCACUUAAUGUGAAGAUAUUCAAGGAACAUAUUGUAGCAUUUAAGCCAUCACUUUCUAUUAAACAAGUAUUCUAAGGUAAUGAUUUUUAAAUCUCUCUUUGUGGAUGGCUUUUGUGAUUUCAAGAUGUCUAAGUAAAGUGUAGGAUGCAAACAAGGGCUAAAAGGAUUUUCUGACAAAGUAAUAUUUAGCAGAGGGGCUUUAAAUAUAUUUCUCAAGAUGUAAUGAAGACUAGACAGUGUUGUAUGCAGUGAUACGAUGACUUAAUGCUGUAACUGUCAGGGCGAAUGUGUACGUUUAUCAAUGUUUUCAUUAAUUCUGUUAUUUCCUUUACAAUUUCUUAAUGCAUCUUAUUCUUAACUGAAAGUGAUAUUAUUGAGAAGGAUCUGAUCCUGGAAAUAUAAAUAUAUAUAUAUAUAAGUGCUGUUAGCUUCAAUUUUUGUCUUGUAGCUGAAGGUCUGAAACUUCAUCUGUUUGAUGUUAUAUAUACAGGAAAGAUAUCUGAAAAAAAGAGGUGAUAUAAAAACUAAGCAUUUUGAGAGGAAUAUAGUGUGACUACUUAAUUUUUUAAACAUGCUUCUAAUAAUAUUUUUUUGGAUAAUUAGAGUGCAACAACAACAACAAAAAAAACCCCAAAACAGCUUAUGAUUUCACAGCCAGUGGGCUGGGACUGUAUUCUGUGACCUGUUCUCCCUUUUUUGUGCUUUCUUAGUGCAAAUUACUCAUUCCUUUUCUUUGACGUAAGAUGAUCUGUUUUUUGCAAUUUUGACUGCUUUUUAUUCUGUAGAGUAGGCUGCAGACAAACUUAAUAUAAACCUCUAGAUUUGGUCCUGAGCAAAGAAGCAGUGUAGACAAACCACUUAGCAAGUUUCAUUCAAAGUCUAAAAGCAAAAAAUUAUGUAAUAAUGCUUUGAAUGGACAACUUAAAAACAACAUUCAUAAACUAUUAAGAGCAUUUCACACAUGCAUGUAUUUUCUUGCUUAUGUUUAUGUAAUCAACCCUUCCAAAGUUGCAAACUCAGAAUAAGCAAUUCUAACUAUUUGACUUUUCACUUAUCUACAUUCACAUUAAUUAGAGUGCUUGAAAGUGAAAUAGUGGAAGGGAGUUAAUUUGUUCAGCAUGUUUCCUUCUGAUGUAGUUCCUUUCAACCCAAAACUUGGCCUAAAGCAACUGCACUUAAUACCACUUUUUAAAAAGCCUUUUUAAACAGAGGCAUGCAGUAGAAACACAGUUCCUGAACUCUAGCAGUGCUGCUGGAUACUGUUCUCAGACUGCCUAUUAUUGCUUCUGUUUGAGUGGAUGACCAGUGGAUGAUUCAUAGUCUUGGCCUCCUGUCCAGCACAGAGAGCUGUUUGAGAGCAAACCCACAGGCAAUUUAGUUCAUGUUUUCCCUUUGGGUUAAGCUGGUCCAGGAACAAGAUAAUCAAUCAUUUAAAAAUUUAAAAAACAAACAAGUUACUGUUGUGUAUGCUGUUUUGUUAUAUUUAUGUUAGAGUGUGAGCAUACAAAUGUACACCCAUGUGUAUAUGAAUAAAGAUCUGUAUGUAUACAUACAUGAUGCUAGUAAAAGAAAUGUCAGCAGAUUGUAGCAGAAAAGUACUUCAUUUCUACAGUGGUAACUAAAAAUAAUCUUUGGAAUUGUCCCUGUAAAAGCCAGACAGUUCAUAGUAAGGGCAGGGAAGGGCCUCUAGAUAACGUGUGCUGACCUUCUGUCUAUCACAGGCAGCAUAUUUUGCUCAGAGACUGUAAUGAAAGUAUUUUGGUCCUUGGGAGACUAUAUCCCAUAAGCUGCAAGCAAAGCAGGGAAGCUUUCAGUAAUGUUUGAAUUCUCUGUAUUGACUGGGUUAUAUGAAAUGUGCCCAAGUGUCCCCUGGGAAAGCCCCUGUUCUGUACUGGAGGGGGGGGAACUAAUAAAACAAAUCAAAGGCCCUUGUUCAUCUAGCACAAGGGAAGCCUUUCCAUCUGUGGAUGGUGUGGUUGUUGAUUAUACCUUCAGCAUGUGAACUGGUACGUACCAGUCAGGUAUCCAGAGGUGGAUUCCAGUUUUGCUUCAUUUUCCAUCUGCUUUGAACCUGUGACCAAUCUCUCAUGCUCUAUGUGAAGGCCUGCCUGAAUGCAGGAAACUGCAAAGCAGUAUUUGUUGCUGAUCUUUCCAACAUCUGGCUGAAGCCCUGAAGCGUGAGAUUCAGCCAUGGUGUAAAGCUGCAAAGUGUUAUGAGGAUUUGGAGGUCAGCAAGGCAAUCUUCUUCUCCCCUUUUGGCCCUUACUAGAUGGAGAUAAGCAGAGUGUCAUAGAUCAUGAUGUACUGAAGCUGAAAAGGGCAACCAUAGCCUUGCAGUAUGGCCCUUCACAAGCAGACCAUUGUGGUGACUGUUUUUUACUAUUCCAGGAUACAGAGAAUGCAAAUAUCAUGGAUAUUGUAUCUUCUUUAGAAUCCUGGUACCAUCUUACAAAGUUUAAGAUGCAUGUUGAUAAAAGUAAACAGUACUUUCAGAAGACCUUUCUUUAGUAGUCAAGAGAGACCUUGACAGUAUGUGUGUUGUUGACAGUUCACUUGAUCUUGGCAGUUUUCUCUGCCAAAUCUUAGUGCGGCGUUGGGUAUGAAUGUAUUCUGCUAGUGGAGCACAGUCAUGGCUAACCUGAAUAACUGUGUUAAAAGUCAGAGCAUGAAGAUGUUAAUAAAUUAUUCCAUCUGAGAUGUUUGGCUUCCUCCUAAUAUGGCAUUUCUAGAUAUUUUUUUUUUUCAAAUUGGUGUGUUCGUUUCUGAAUCAGCAGAAGGCAGCAUACAAAACAGGCUUUUUGGCUUGUUUUCAGGUGAUGCUUUAUCACUCUAAGCUUUGCUGUUUUAGACAUCUUAGUUGGAUGGUGUUUGGAGUACCACACCAUCUAACAUACUGGAGCAUGUUUCCAUGUUCUCAGAUAUCCUCGUGACUGUUGCUAAAAGAAAAUAUAUAUAUAUAUAUUUAGCUUACCAAUAAGACAAUUAAAUUUAAAGUUGGUAGUUCUAAGUAUCUUUCUGAAGAUGUUGUACUGAUGUACUUCUGUUGUAGACAUGAAAGAAAGAACACAAGCCAUAUGACAGUUAAAAUAGCAGAAAUCCAAAAAUAAAGCAUAAAAUAAAUAAGAUGAAGCAUUGGAGCUUAACAUCCAAGAGAAAUGAUGCAUCUCCAUUUCCAGUGCUAUCUUUUUAGGACCAGAUGUCUGUCAUGAAAACACUGUGGUAGAACAUAAGCCGUGGUGUGUAGUGCAGAGGCAGAUCAUAGAAGAGGCACUACCUGAAGAGGAGUAAUACAAAAUAACUUUCUAGCUUUGGCACUCCAAAAACACAGUAUGUGAAAUAUUUUUCAGGCAUAAUUCUGCAGUUUGUUUUUCCUUUCAACCCAAAACACAACUGUAAUACGUCUUCACAUUUAAAUCAAAAGAAAUGAUAGAGAACUGAGGUUUUUUUUUAAUCCUCUGCUUAGUAGUCACUUACGUGAUGUGUAACUUCAGUUCUUUGUUUCUACCUAGAACUAAUGUAUGAGGAAAAUGGAAUGUCUCAUGUCUCUGCUGAAACAAAAGUGAGAUAGAGGAAUUGUUGUUUUCCCAAAAGUUGAUGUCGCACAUCUUUCACAUAAGCUUGAGUUCUGAAUGCAAAAUGCGGUAUGCAAAUCAUCGCCUUCUACUGUGAUGCUAUUUUUGAGAGGUUCAUUAUGUCAGUACGCACCAUUCAUUUAUAUAUCUUCUGGGAUUAUUAUAAAGUGAAGAUGAUUAAUCAUACUAUCAGUAAUCCUAGCGCAACUCUUCUGCUGCACAACAUAAAGCAAAACUGAAUUUCACAGGGGCAGUGAAGCAACAGCACACUGUCUUGCAAGAUAGGCCUGUUAAAGUAAAGACCUGUCACAUCUAAUUUAUUGAGUGAGGCACACAACUUUGGAGCCAAGAGGCUGGCUUUAAUACACCUUUAAUCAUGUUGUAUCAUUCUUUCCAAAAUAUAACUGUUGAAAUGCAGUGUGCUGCAUCAUCUUCUGGCAAGCAAAGAAGGUGCAAAGCAAAGAGAACCACAGAACUGUGCACCUUUUGUGGCUUAUAUUCUGGCUAGUGCACAUGUAGUCACAAGCUGGUAAACAGCUAGAUGAGAACAGCAGGGGAGCUGCAAUCAUAUAACAAAGAGAGAGCAGUGAAACAAUUCCUUCUUUAGAGUGAAUGAAGCCAGAGGGGCAAGCAAUGGCUAUGAACCUCAUCACUGCAGCAAAGAUUGUACUUCAGACAGCUUCAGAAGAUCUUACUGUCUGCUUAAAUUUCAUUCCCCUUUCCUAUCUAUUUUUUUUUUAAAGAUUGUGCACUGCUGAAAGUAAAACAACAGGCAUUUAAGGGCUUUUGGGCUGCUUGUGGUUAUUGUUGUCAAGCCAGCGCUAAAUCAUACUUAAAAUCAUGACAGAACAUGUCUCAUUUGUGUUUUCAUAGGGAUGGCAUUCCCCUGAAUAAUAAUAAGGAAUGUCUGUAGAAUAUUUGGAGGCAUUAACAAAAAUUACUGUUUUGAACUGCCUAAUUUCUCCCUUUUCUGGGUGUUGCUGUUCUCACCAUAAGAUCAUCAGGAAGGGAAUGUAGGAGCGUGCACCUGCUUUUUGAAUAUCUGACGUAACUGCUGAGGAAGAAAGGUUUGUGCAAGGAUAGAGUCCACACCAUUUCUUUACAAGUGUUUUUUAAUUUAAUUUUUUUUCAUUUUGAUUUUGUUGUGUUUAUUAAAUCAUGUUUUAAUUUCAGACUUUAUUCAUUUGAUAUUGUAUUUUGUCUUUCUUCCUAACUUGCUGUAGUAGUGAGAGUAAGCUGCUGCUUGUCAUCCCUCUUGACUGAGUUGAUAUUUUUAGUGAAAAGGACUGAUUAAAAAAAAAAUAAUCAGUUGUCUUGGAAAUGAAGUGGCUAAAGUUUAGUCUGUGUUUUUGUAUUGUUGUAACAGACAAAGCAGACAUAUUGUGUGAAAAUAUAAACUAACCACAUUCCAGCAAAUCAGUACUGUAAAGUUUUUGUUUUUAAAAAGACAACAAAACAAGAAAAAAACCCCAUCAACUAAACUAUAUUUUCCAUUGUAAGUCCUAAAAAGUCUUUUUUGCUUGGUCAGGUAUCUGAGUAGGUGGAUGGAGGAAAGAAAAAAAAUAUUUUCAACUUAGGAAAAUCUCAUAAAACUACCUCUCAUAACUUUAGGGGGAUGGCAGGGGCAUUGUAAAGAGCAUUUAAUGCAUGUCUAUGGAAAAAGAUACCAGUAGAGAAAAUUUCUGCAGAAACAUUAAGAACAGUAAAUUGUAUUGAGAGCUGACUGUUGCUGACUUACCUGUAUCUUAAGUGACUGUAUAGCAACAGAAACGAAUAUAAAGCAUGGAUAAAAACAAGGGCUAUGCUUUCAGGAGGUGCAGGGGCCAAGAAACUGGGACUUUCUUUCAAGAACAGGCAUGACACAGCCCAUGAAAGAUUUAAUAAGAUGUGUGUUCCACCUGCACAGACAAAAAGAUGUCAUAACUGUAGGUUGCUUUCCUGUAUUUUAACUGUGCAAGCUCUUCCCAGCUUCUGCUGAGCUGUGUGUCACCAAUGUUGUUCAAUGCUUCUUGAAUACCAAAUUCCCCCUUCUCAUUGCAUUGUUCUUCUUUUGUGUGCUUCUUUUGAAACACAAUUAGCUGAGGAGUAAAUACCAUACAGUAUAAUUCUCCUUUGAUUGUUUUCAGUAGUGAAGUCCCAACUCAGUUUAAUUAUUUGAUGCACCUACUAGCAUAAAACUUUAGUUCUCUUUUAAUGCUUUACUAGCUUUAACAAUUUCUUACUUUUCAAGAGAAGUGUAUUGUGUCAUUGUUAUUCCCUGAAUUAAAGUCUGUGUAUGUGCAUCUUCAUGCCCCAUGUAUAUGUACAGUUGGUUGUGAUUUAAUCUGGCAGGCAUUUAAGCACUGCACAGCUGUUUCCUCACUCUCCUGUAAUGGGAUGGGGAAGAGGAUGAAAAGAGAUGAAACUGUGAGAGCUCAUCAGUUGAGAGUGCUGGAAGGAUGAGUUCUGUAUGUAGUCUAAGGAUGCAGGGUCCAAGAGGAACUCUGUAAAUGAACAGGCUUGGAGAGAUAGCUGAAAUGCUUCCCACUAUUUAAAGCAAACUGGAGUAUAAAGCCGAUACCCGCAAUGGUAAGUUCUCAUUUCUAAUAGAAAGAGCUUUGUAGUCACUUAAGUAGCAAUUCUGCAUGAAGUUCAGCAACAGUAGAAGUUUCCAGAUGCUUGAUACUGAAUGUUCAGAAGUUUUAGCAUUGUGAUUUUGUUUGCACUGUGUUUGUGCUCAACUUUUUAGCCAAGCUUGUUAUAGUUGAUGACUAAGGCCAUUCAGCAGCUUCACUAUGGAGUUCCAUGAAUGCUAAUUUCUUCUGCUGAGAAGCGCAGAAUUCCAUGCCAACAAAGUUAUAUUGAAUCCUCCACCUGCUGUCAGUUCACUUAGAGCUAGAUCCUGUAUUUACUUUUGGGCCUUAGGCUCUUUUGAAGAUCCAACCUGAACUGUAAUUCAAGAACAAGUUUAUCCUGGCACUUAUUCAAUGUUAAGUACUUCGAAAUCUAUUUUAGAAUGUUCAGUGAUUAUUGAACAAUUAAUCUCUUUGAAUAUUUAAUAUUGAUGUAGAGUGGGCUAACACACAUCUGGACGUGUACCUGUGAAAACAUUUACAUAUGCACAUAAACACUCAGAGUGUAAGCCUGCAAAACACAACUUUUUAUAGCCAGUAGCAUACUGAGUUUCAUGGAGUCAUUAUAAUGCCAGUAAGUCCCACAGGCAGAAUUCUGUGGAACUAUUAUUGUAUAGCAGUGUCAUUAUACAGUAUUUGAUGUUCUUGGUGCACACAGAGGUGAUGAUGACAUUGAUGCAAACAGUUAAGCUGGUUAGUCAUUUGUGUAUUGAAUGUUAUGUAUCAACGUGCCUUAUUGUUUUAAGUCAAAGGGCUGUUAUAUUUUAUGGUAUUUACUCUUUUGCUAAUUGUGGUUCAAAAGAACAAUACAAUGAGAAUGGGGAAUUUGUUAUUCAAGAAGCACUGAACAACACUGGUGACACACAGCUCAGCAGAAGCUGGGAAGAACUUGCACAGUUAAAAUACAGGAAAGCA